UGUUAACUUCUUAGUAUUAAUAGACGUACCAUAGUUAUAUAAGAUGUUAACAUUAAGGGAAGCAACUUCCAAAAGUCAUCACUCCUAUCCUGACUAUAAGAAAAAUCUGGACAAAUUGGAAAUCAACAACUUUUCUUGGACUCAUCAGAGAACUGAGCUCACCAGCACACCAACAAGUCUCCAGCAGAGUAAGAGCGAAUCACAGCCAAAAGAACAGACUUUCUCUGUGGAGAACUUAGGGAAGCCCAAAGUCAGGAGGGGAGAUACGAACAAGGACACUGCAGGAAUCUGGAGCCUCUGGCACCGAUAUUACCACAGACAUUAAACAUGGCCCAACUGAUAAAGAUCAGAAAGUUGGAUCUACACAAAGGAGGAGCUUCCAAGAAGGAAUUAAUGAGGAUGGGGAGUCGAUUUGGAUUACAGGACACUCUGGAGUAGGAGAAAGAGUAAGGUUGAGUGAAUGCCUCUGAACGGAGCCAACUGCCUGAUUCCCACCACCAGGUCCUUAUAAAGUCAUCUUCACCGAUGGAACGGCCAGCUGUGGGUCAGACAUCACAAUUAUCAUUAGGACCAAAAGCUGGGUAAACUUUUAGAGGGACUACCUUGGAAGUACAGACAAAGGCAAGACAAAAUUGAGAAGAGGCCUUUUAAUAAUUUGAAAACUGAUCAUAUUUACAACAUAUGUAUCAAUAGCAGGAAAACGCUCGUGGGGGAAUUACCUAAUAACUAUCAAUGUAGGGAUAGCAUCUACAAUUCAGUCAUUCUCAGAUUUUUCAGUGAAAUGUUCCCUAACCAUGAGGAAAGUAGACCUAUAUGUGGAUGAGAGCCUGGCGUGCAGCCAGAGGCAGUCAUCUCAAGCCUGAAAUAUCUGUAAAAUUUACAUAAAUGUUGCAUUAUACUCCAGAAUAGAGCUAUGUUUAUUGUGACAUAGCAGUAUUGCUUCCAAUUUAAAAAUUUUAGUUAAAAUCCUUUGAAAUAUUAAGCAGUUUAAGCAAAACUGACCUCCAGGACGAGGAUUGCUCUAUGGCCCAGGCAUACAUACAUCCCUGGCACGGAGCACCCCACUGUGAGAAGCAUAGCUCUACAUUUUCUUAAGACAUUCAAAUUAAAUCUUUCUUUUAAAAAAAAUGUCUAAACUCCAACACUGAGUCUUUGCUCAAACGAUCCCUUCCAUCUGGAACACUUUUCCUAGCCUUUCCCAUGAAUCUC
rnacentral:lncRNA from 1 species